rnacentral:rRNA from 1 species
CGAGUUUGAUCAUGGCUCAGAACGUACGCUGGCGGCACGCCUAACACAUGCAAGUCGAACGAAGUAGCAAUACUUAGUGGCAGACGGGUGAGUAACAUGUGGGUAUCUACCCUUUGGCCUGGAAUAACACGAGGAAACUUGUGCUAAUACCGGAUAAGUCUUUACGGAGAAAGCUUUAUGCACCAUUGGAUGAGCCCGCACUUGAUUAGUUUGUUGGUAGGGUAAUGGCCUACCAAGACUAUGAUCAAUAGCUGAUUUGAGAGGAUGAUCAGCCACAUUGGGACUGAGACACGGCCCAAACUCCUACGGGAGGCAGCAGUGGGGAAUCUUGCACAAUGGAGGAAACUCUGAUGCAGCGAUGCCGCGUGAGUGAAGAAGGCCUUUGGGUUGUAAAGCUCUUUCGUCGGGGAAGAAAAUGACUGUACCCGAAUAAGAAGGUCCGGCUAACUUCGUGCCAGCAGCCGCGGUAAUACGAAGGGACCUAGCGUAGUUCGGAAUUACUGGGCUUAAAGAGUUCGUAGGUGGUUGAAAAAGUUGGUGGUGAAAUCCCAGAGCUUAACUCUGGAACUGCCAUCAAAACUUUUCAGCUAGAGUAUGAUAGAGGAAAGCAGAAUUUCUAGUGUAGAGGUGAAAUUCGUAGAUAUU